AGGAAUAUUUCCCGCAAGCAGAUGCCCUAAUGUCCAACCAGAAGUGAAACUGGCGCUGGAUCUGGAGAGGUGGAGACCCGUGGCCAGCUUCUGUCGCUGCUAUCUGCCAUUGUGUUUUGGUUGCUUUCGGUUUUGCAAGAAGCAUGGCCUCUGUCUCCCUCCGACCUGC
rfam:Callithrix jacchus chromosome 7, whole genome shotgun sequence